rnacentral:lncRNA from 1 species
GAGGUGAGCUUCACUGAACUUUUUAUAAAUUUUUUCAUUUAAAAUGUCUUUAAUUUCAAUCUUUGGAUAUCCUUCUCUAACUUUGUUUUACAAGUGUGUCACACCCAAAAGCUUCCAGAUUCUUUUCAUUUAUUUUUUAUAGUACUUUUGAAAAUUACUCUCUUGAUACUCUAUAACUUUUCAGAAGCAUAAUCUUAAAAAAU